rnacentral:rRNA from 1 species
AUUGAACGCUGGCGGCAUGCUUUACACAUGCAAGUCGAACGGUAACAGGCCGCCAGGUGCUGACGAGUGGCGCACGGGUGAGUAAUGCAUCGGAACGUGCCCAGUCGUGGGGGUUAACUACUCGUAAGAGUAGCUAAUACCGCAUACGAUCUAUGGAUGACAGCGGGGGACCGUAAGGCCUCGCGCGAUUGGAGCGGCCGAUGUCGGAUUAGGUAGUUGGUGGGGUAAAGGCUCACCAAGCCAACGAUCUGUAGCUGGUCUGAGAGGACGACCAGCCACACUGGGACUGAGACACGGCCCAGACUCCUACGGGAGGCAGCAGUGGGGAAUUUUGGACAAUGGGCGCAAGCCUGAUCCAGCAAUGCCGCGUGCAGGAAGAAGGCCUUCGGGUUGUAAACUGCUUUUGUACGGAACGAAACGGCUCUGGUUAAUACCCGGGGCUAAUGACGGUACCGUAAGAAUAAGCACCGGCUAACUACGUG